UGUCUAGCAGAAAGAGGAGCCCGUCUAAGAACGUGAGACAACUCAACUGCGGCUGUCCCAUUUGCACGUUUUUUUUCCUCGGUCCCAAUGACGGCUCCCGCAGAAGCGAGGCAGAGCUCCCUGCCGGAGAGAGGACGUUGGGAGCCGCCGCCGCCAUCCACCUUCUGGUGUCUGGAUCGGCAAAAGAGGCACCAAGUAAUGGCUUCCUUAUGGCCGCAAGAGUGAUGGGCUGACAGAAGCUGGCACCUCAGGUCAAAUGAGACAAGCGGAAGGCAAACUUACUUGAGAACAAAGCAGCAUAACGAGCUCCACCACCGACGUGCUCGACUUCAUGCACACCAGACCUGCAAAG